rnacentral:rRNA from 1 species
GGCAGCAGUGGGGAAUAUUGGACAAUGGGCGCAAGCCUGAUCCAGCCAUGCCGNGUGUGUGAAGAAGGCCUUCGGGUUGUAAAGCCCUUUCAGUAAGGAUGAAAGGUUGUAGCUUAGGAUUACGACGUUAUCUGUGACGUUACUGUGCAGAAGAAGCACCGGCUAACUCCGUGCCCGCAGCCGCGGUAAUACGGAGGGUGCAAGCGUUAAUCGGAAUUACUGGGCGUAAAGCGCGCGUAGGUUGUUUGUUAAGCCAGAUGUGAAAGCCCCGGGGUCAACCUGGUAACUGCCUUUUGAACUGGUGUGCUUGAGUACAGUAGAGGGUGGCGGAUUUUCCUGUGUAGCGGUUAAAUGUGUAGAGGUUGGAAGGAACAUCCGUGGCGAAGGCGGCCACCUGGACUGAUACUGACAGUUAGGUGCGAAAGGUUUGGGAGCAAACACGGAUUAGAUACCCUGGUCGUCCACCCCGCAAACUAUGUCUACUAGUUGUCGGUAAACUUGAACUCUUGCUAACUAAGCUAACGCGAUAAGUAAACCGAAUGGAGAGUACGUCACCGUGGUUAAAACUCAAAGGAAUUGACGGUUCA